rnacentral:lncRNA from 1 species
CAUAUUUUUUUUAAAAAAAUAGAUACUCGUCCAAAUAUAAGCUACUUUAUAAUAAGUCACGUUUGCAUGAUCAACUAUACAUAUCAAAAUUCUGUUCUUAAAAAAUAAUUUUUUAAUUUUUUUUAAAAAAAAAUUUGUGAACCAAAUGAGUCCGAAGUCAUUGUAGUCAACUGGCCAAUCAAUGGGCAAAUGAUGCGGAAACAUUGCGGAAAAGGGGGG